rnacentral:rRNA from 1 species
GACGAACGCUGGCGGCGUGCCUAAUACAUGCAAGUCGAGCGGAACUUAGAAAGCUUGCUUUCUAAGUUUAGCGGCGGACGGGUGAGUAACACGUGGGCAACCUGCCUAUAAGACUGGGAUAACUUCGGGAAACCGGAGCUAAUACCGGAUAAUACAAAAGAUCACAUGGUCUUUUAUUGAAAGAUGGCUUCGGCUAUCACUUAUAGAUGGGCCCGCGGCGCAUUAGCUAGUUGGUGAGGUAAUGGCUCACCAAGGCGACGAUGCGUAGCCGACCUGAGAGGGUGAUCGGCCACACUGGGACUGAGACACGGCCCAGACUCCUACGGGAGGCAGCAGUAGGGAAUCUUCCGCAAUGGACGAAAGUCUGACGGAGCAACGCCGCGUGAGCGAUGAAGGCCUUCGGGUCGUAAAGCUCUGUUGUUGGGGAAGAACAAGUAUCGUUCGAAUAGGGCGGUACCUUGACGGUACCUAACCAGAAAGCCACGGCUAACUACGUG